UACAGAGGGUGCAAGCGUUAUUCGGAAUUACUGGGCGUAAAGAGCGCGUAGGCCGUUUGAUAAGUCUGAUGUGAAAGCCCUGGACUCAAUCCAGGAAGUGCAUCGGAUACUGUCAGACUAGAGUAUAGGAGAGGACAACGGAAUUCCUGGUGUAGAGGUGAAAUUCGUAGAUAUCAGGAGGAACAACAGUGGCGAAGGCGGUUGUCUGGACUAUUACUGACGCUGAGGCGCGAAAGUGUGGGGAGCAAAC
rnacentral:rRNA from 1 species